AAGGGGGAAGCAGGAUGUGCUUACUCAUUUUUAUGUGAUCUCAGUGGAGGGAGGAUAAAAUGCUGAUUCCAGUUUCCAGAUUCCCAUUGACUUCUUCCAUCCUAAUUUAUAUUCACAUUUGUCUUCUCCACAGAUAAGCACAGGAAUCCAUUCCUGGAGCCAGAAUGAACAUCUUGGGACCAGCAUCGGAUCUGAAUAUAUGCAGCAGCAUGAACUGACAACAAAAUUC